AUGACGUCAAGUCAUCAUGGCCCUUACGGCCUGGGCUACACACGUGCUACAAUGGUCGGUACAAAGGGUUGCCAAGCCGCGAGUGGAGCUAAUCCCAUAAAACCGAUCGUAGUCCGGAUCGCAGUCUGCAACUCGACUGCGUGAAGUCGGAAUCGCUAGUAAUCGUGAAUCAGAAUGUCACGGUGAAUACGUUCCCGGGCCUU
rnacentral:rRNA from 1 species